UUCAAUUUGUAAGUACCAUUGUUGCUUCUGUUUAGUAUGCUUCAAGUUUGGAAGAUUGACAAAAUGUGGCCAGCUUGCUCUCCAGGGCUUUAAGAUUGGAAGAUGCAAAAACAUGAAGCAAUUUAUUCAGUUGUUUUUCUGUUUGCAUAGUGGUCCACAAGGCAGAUUAUCUUUAUCUCAAUAUGCACACAAAAGCUGAUCUUAAAUGGUUUGGUUAGUGCCAGAUUUCUUUAGUGACAUGAUUUUGGAGGUUUAGUUCAGUUUAAAAGAAAAUGCCAUGUGACUUUUAUUAUUGAUGUCUAGAUUAGAGAUCAUAUGCAAAUAAUCUUUUUCAAUUGAUAUGGUAAUUUAUAGCAGAUAAAUGUUAUUAGCUCUAUACUAUGGAUUAUUUCCCAUGAUUUUUGGGUCUGGUUGGCAUAGUGAUAUUAUCUUACAACUAUCCCUUCCUACCUAUAAGUAUAAUGUCUAUCCAGAUCUUGCACUAAGCCAUUAUUUAUGAAGACUUACCUUUGGAAAAAAUCAUAAAAUUCUUUGUGCUAGCUAACUUUGCUUAUCCAGAUUGCAUUGACAUAGUGUUCGAUCUUGCAUUCUGUUGUUACUAAUGCAAGUUGCAAGGUCAGUUUAGUCUAAUGCAACCAGGAUGAAUGUGCAUCAGUCUGGAAUUGAGAUUCUCAAUAUUCACAUUGUCGAUAACAAGGUACCUAACUUACGUAUAUAGUGAAGUCUACUUCUUUUGUCUUUCCGGUUGUUAAUAGCUUUUGCAUCGCUAUUAGCCAAUCAGCAGGAUUUGAAUCAUUAUAUGAGUGCAAGGAGAUGUUAUGUGUCAUGUAAAUUGUAAGUUAUGUAGGGGGCUUCGUUAUUGCAAUUUUGGGUUGGGUUGCGAGCACCUCAUCUACUCAACAUCAGCUAUACUUGAUGUGUACUUGCAUAUAUGUAUCUGCCGCAUAUCAUGAUACUAACAACACUUUCCUGCUACCUCGGUACUUCAGUAUGGUACAACUUUUCUGAAAAGUAAUAAGGUAAAUUAGUUAUUGUUUUGUUUGACCACGCGGAGGGCGCGCAGCCGGCUCUCGGACCCUAGAAAUUCCAGUUUCUGUUUCUUCUUCCAUCUUUAUCUUUUUUUCCUUUCUCUUCACCCGAUUGACACUAAUUUGUUUGUAUGCUUCCUUAUUUGUUUUGCAAGUACAGAUCAUGGUGUUGAUUGCUGACUCGCCUUUCAACAGGCAGUGCAGAUUUCUUAGGUGUUCAGAUGAAUUUAUCCCUGGGUGUUUAUGCACGGAAGGAGGCAUACCAAUGAUAGUUUGAAUCAAACCAGUAAAGGACGCAACCUUCGGUUAUGGUGUUGAGCGACUGAACUGUAGUGAACUGGUAGUGCGACUGUUAACCUCCUUGAAACCAUUCACGUUCGUCGCUCUUGAACUCACGCAACAGACAAGCAACUCUUCUUUUAUAACUGCAGACAAGUAUGACUCCAUACCCUUAAAUUUCCUGCACUAUUCUCAGGGUCGUUGAAUACAUCGUGUAACCCCACAUAAAUGGUUAGGAGCCAGGUAAAUUUUAUUUAUCUUUGAUUCCCUAUCAAAAUAUUUUUACUGCAUGUGUUAGGUAGGAUCUAUAAGAGUUGCUGCUAUGUAUAUGUUGUUGAAACCGCCAAUGUAGUUAAUCUCCGACUCAUCAUCUUUCUUAGUUCAAGCCCUUCAGAGAAUGCUUUUAAAUUUAUGAACUGAAUUUAGUUCAAGAUUUAGCAAAAAUGCACGGUGAUCUUUACAACUUAUCUAUUUCUUUUUUUCUAUGGGACUUUUCAAAGAUAAUAAUUUGGCAAUAAAUAAUGUUCAGUAAUCAUGUUUCCCUUUUAAUCACUAUACUUUAGUAUUCUUGGUAUCACAAAAUCUUUGAAACCUGAUACCACUCAUGUAAUUAGCCAUUAUUUUUGUCAUAAAGUCCCAUGUAUUAUCCAUUUUUCUUUCAAGGGAACAGACCAAACCAAACUGUGACUUUAUUUGUAAAUAUUUGAAUUUAUAUUAUGUCUCUUAUGUGAUCUCAGAGGACUUAAUUUUUGUGUGGGGACCUCAAGCUACCUUUAGUGACUUACAAGCUAUCAACCAACAAGAGUUUUUCCCUGCUUUUGGAGCCUGCUAAGCUAUCAACAAACAAAGAGGUACUACGCUGAGACUGAAGAGGCUGCUAGCCAGCACCCCGCCUCUCUUGCCGUCACCGCUGAGCAGCUAUGAUGCUUCAAAGGAUUUUAAUGGAGUUCAUUGUAGCUGAGUCGCGAAUCUCCAGCUUGCUUCCAUGUCUUUUCUCACUGGAGACACCUCCUGCCGGCGACGGCGAUGACCGCUACCCUGCUCCUCUCCCGGCAAAGGCAUGUCUACCUCUCAUGUGAAGUUAAGGCCAUCUUUGCCUCUUCCUUCAGGUUUUUCCUCUGUUUUUUGUUACACGACUUUGUGGUGCUUAGUGUAUAUAUCAUUCCCUAAUGUCCAUUGAUUGAACAACUCUGCUACAUGCGAUUGCAGCAAACUCCAUUUUUGUGUAUGUAGAAAAACAAAGGAAACUCCAUUUUUGUGUAUGUGGAAAAAAUAAAGGAAACUCCAUUUUUGUGUAAUUACAAACAAAUGAAACUCCAUUUUCGCGUAAUUAGAAACAAGAGACUUUUAGACGGUGAAGACUGCUGCCCUGAUCCUAAGAGCCUACUGACAUUUCACCAAAUCUUGUUAUAAUUUUUUUUAUCAGCAGCAAAUACUUUUAAAUUUGUCUUUACAAUUCCAAGUACAUGACCAUACUGAUCCUUCUAUUUUUGAUGUAGCAGAACAAACGUUCGUAAUUUAUACACCUAGGCUCAGCUUCUCUAUAUUUAUACGAAGGCCUGGAGCGUGUUUCUUUUGUUUUCAACUCCGAGGGGACCAGAACCUGGCGGCGAAUAGGAGCUCAACUACUAUUGUUAUUAAUCAGGAUAAAUGCUUCUGCUUUAUCAUCAGCCAGUAAACAUGCUAAGUUUGCCUGGCUGGCACACAUGCUUAGGCACAACAGUCUGCCCCAGCACCGCACGGCAAGGCGCGCUGCAGGUCAUUUAUAUAGCAUCUCCUCAUUUGUAUAUUAUUCACAUAUAGCAUCUCAUUUCUUGGUUGAUUACUUGUGUAUUCAACUUCUGGCUCUUUCGCUCCCAAGCUGGCCUCCCUCUCCUCUGUGCUCAGCGGGAGAAGCAUGAGGCGCUGCACCUUUGACCUUGUAGUGCUCGGCUCCAAUUCAUCAGGGAGGCCACCGGCAAGCAUCAAGCUACCCUUGGUGCUUCCUCGUCAUCAAGGAGGAGGAGGUCGGGUAGCGCCGUCCUCAAGGAUAGGCACAACCGCGACACCGCAGAGACGGACGAGGAUGUGGUGCUGCACCUUCUUGUGGUGUAUGCAUUGGCGUGGCUUGCGGUAGUGAUGCAUAUCUUCGUGGGUAAUGCUAUUUGAAGACCACUCAAGUGAUUUAAAGGAGAAGAUGUCCAGAAUGUAAGGAGGUUGAAGAUGACGAUCAAAAGAUUGACAUAUUAAGCGACUGCCAAGAAGCCAAUAAUGCUUGCGCCCUGCCAUUAGUAAUACCCUUGCUCUUCUUUAUGAAAUCUUUCCUAACUAUCGUUGCAGAUUGUGAGAUCCCUAUUUAAAUACAUCACUCAGCGGCUGGCCGGUACAGAGUUGUGUGGCAGGCAUAUGUGUUCUCAGCCACCUUAUCAAUUGUAGGCUUAGAAUGAUUUGCUUCGUCCAAGUGUUGUUCGUCAACAAUUCCUUUGUUUGUCCAUGUCAAUUCUGAUUUUAGAGGAUGCAUAUGUUUUGGUACAAAGUGUAUUGUUCUUAUGUUUUUUCCUGGUAUGUACUGACUGAUGCAGUAACUGAUGUUUCAGAUGAUGAAAUCCAUAUUUAAUGAAUCGCUCGGUAAUUGUUUUGUAUGAAUGCAUAUGCUGAAUCUGGGUUCCUACUAACUCAAUAUUACCUGCUUGACCAAAAUAUUGGGACCGGCACCCUUGCGCCAAGGCGCAAUUCCGAUCUAGUAUGCAUGAAAGCUGGAGUGCUUCACACUACCAAAGCAACCUAACAAAGCACGUAGGGUACAGCACCAAAGGUACUGCCACCGCAACAAAUGCUUUUCUUGCCAUGUACCGAUACCCACAUGAACAUUUUAAGUGUCACACGUAGCAUGAUUUUUGGGUAUCACCUUGUUUUUUAACAUGGUAUCAUCUUUUCUUGUUAGGCGUCUCCUCACAUCUUGUUAGGAGUAGCAAGUACAGCUUGCAAGUGUCUCCAUUUCCAAGUCACGCGUGUUUGUGUUAUUGGACAGUUUAGCCCUUAACAGAGAGGAUGAAAUGGCUCCGAGGUUCAGGAAAGCUGAGUCCAGGGCGUACAUGAGUCGAGGGACUGGGUUUACAUGAGUUGCUGCCUACCUAGAGCCAAUAUGGGACUAGGAGUCCUCAACAUGCUCGUCAAAAUAAUCAUCUAAUGAGCUUAAUUAUAACAGUCAUUAUGCAAAAGCAAGGAAUUAUUACACACCCGAUGCCUCCUAAUUCUAAUAUGCACCAGACAUAUGCAUGCACUCUCACACAGACUAGGAUUGCCACCCAAAAUCACAAGAAAAGUUGUGGAAACCAUGUGGA